rnacentral:lncRNA from 1 species
CAGGACAUGUGGGUGGCUGUAAGUGUGUUCCAUGCCCAGGUCUUGUCUCAUAAACUGGGGAAGAGCCCAAGGCCAGUAUAAAAGGGCUCAUGGCAGAGGACCUCCAUCCACUCACCUCCUGAGGUGCCCACAGACCUGUGCUGCCUGUGACCCUGGUCCUGAACUGCUGCCUUCCAAGAUGUCCUGCCAGCAGAACCAGCAGCAGUGCCAGCCGCCUCCCAAGUGCACUCCCAAGUGCCCUCCCAAGUGUCCUACACCAAAAUGCCCCCCGAAGUGUCCCCCUAAAUGCCCCCCAGUCUCUUCCUGC